rnacentral:rRNA from 1 species
GGGCCGCGGUAUUCUGACCGUGCGAAGGUAGCAUAAUCAGUAGUCCUUUAAUUGUGGGCUGGAAUGAACGGCUGGAUGAGAUAUAAUCUGUCUUAAUAUUAUUAUUGAAUUUAACUUUUAAGUGAAAAGGCUUAGAUUUUUAGGGGGACGAUAAGACCCUAUGAAACUUUAUAAAUUUAAUUAUGGUUUAAGAAAUUUGUUUAAAUUAGAUCUUAAGUUGAUUUAUUUCGUUGGGGAGAUGAAAAUAAAAUUGUAACUGUUUCUGGAAAUAUCAUAWUUAUCGGUAGAUAUUGACCCUUUAUUGAGGAUUAUAAGAUUAAGUUACUUUAGGGAUAACAGCGUAAUUUCUUUUGAGAGUUCAUAUCGACAAAGGUAGUUGCGACCUCGAUGUUGAAUUAAAAUUUCGGUUUGGUGUAGCAGCUAAGCUGGUGGGUCUGUUCGACCUUUAAAAUUUUACAUGAUUUGAGUUCAGACCGGCGUGAGCCAGG